rnacentral:tRNA from 1 species
UUUAGGAAAGUGGAAAGUUUUUUCCUUUUAUUUUAGGAAUUUUGGGAACAGAACAUUUCAACAAAGGAAGUCUUUCACCGGUCAAACAAGACGUAAGACUUAAUCUAAAAGAAAUUACUAGAUUGAAUCUAUUUGCAUUAAAAAAACCGAUCAAAAAAGGGCGAGCGAAGUAAGUGAUCGAAAAACUUUGUUCUUUGUUCGUCCUAUCUAUAAGAGGAGAGCAUAUGAAAAAUGUAACCCAUUCUUUCGUUUUUUUAGCUCACUGGCCAUCCGCUGGCAGUUUCGGGCUUAAUACCGAUAUUUUAGCAACAAAUCUAAUAAAUCUAACUGUAGUGGUUGGUGUUUUGAUUUUUUUUGGAAAGGGAGUGUUAAAAGAUUUAUUAGAUAAUCGAAAACAGAGGAUCUUGAGUACUAUUCGAAAUUCAGAAGAAUUGCGUAGAGGGACCAUUGAGCAACUCGAAAAAGCUCGGAUUCGAUUACAGAAAGUCGAACUAGAAGCGGAUGAGUAUCGAAUGAAUGGAUACUCUGAGAUAGAACGAGAAAAAGCAAAUUUGAUUAAUGCUACUUCUAUUAGUUUGGAACAAUUGGAAAAGUCUAAAAACGAAACCCUUUAUUUUGAAAAACAAAGGGCAAUGAAUCAGGUCCGACAGCGGGUUUUCCAACAGGCCGUACAAGGAGCUCUAGGAACUCUGAAUAGUUGUUUGAAUACCGAGUUACAUUUCCGUAUGAUUCGUGCUAAUAUUGGCAUUCUCGGGUCCCUGGAAUGGAAGAGAUAAUUAAAUUAAUUAGGCCUUGAACUUCUACUUUCGUUUAGAAUUUAGGCAUUAUUUUUCCCCUUGCUUCCGAAAAAAGAGUCAAGAAACACUAAUGGCAACCCUUCGAGUCGACGAAAUUCAUAAAAUUCUCCGCGAACGUAUUGAACAAUAUAAUAGGAAAGUAGGGAUUGAGAAUAUAGGUCGCGUAGUUCAAGUGGGGGAUGGGAUUGCUCGUAUUAUAGGUCUUGGUGAAAUAAUGUCAGGUGAAUUAGUCGAAUUUGCAGAAGGUACUAGGGGUAUUGCUCUGAAUUUGGAAUCCAAAAAUGUUGGGAUUGUAUUAAUGGGCGAUGGGUUGAUGAUACAAGAGGGAAGUUUUGUAAAAGCAACAGGAAGAAUUGCUCAGAUACCCGUGAGUGAGGCUUACUUGGGUCGUGUUGUAAAUGCUCUGGCUAAACCUAUUGAUGGGAAAGGCGAAAUUAUAGCUUCCGAAUCUCGCUUAAUUGAAUCUCCUGCUCCAAGUAUAAUUUCCAGGCGUUCCGUAUACAAACCUCUUCAAACAGGGCUUAUUGCUAUCGAUUCGAUGAUCCCUAUAGGGCGCGGUCAGCGAGAGUUAAUUAUUGGGGACAGACAGACUGGCAAAACAGCAGUAGCCACAAAUACAAUUCUCAAUCAAAAAGGGCAAGGUGUAAUAUGUGUUUAUGUAGCUAUCGGUCAAAGAGCAUCCUCCGUAGCUCAAGUAGUAACUGCUUUCCAUGAGGAGGGGGCCAUGGAAUACACUAUUGUAGUAGCUGAAAUGGCGGAUUCACCUGCUACAUUACAAUACCUCGCUCCUUAUACGGGAGCAGCCCUGGCUGAGUAUUUUAUGUACCGCGAACGGCAUACUUUAAUAAUUUAUGAUGAUCUCUCCAAACAGGCACAAGCUUAUCGCCAAAUGUCCCUUCUAUUAAGAAGACCUCCCGGCCGUGAGGCUUAUCCAGGGGAUGUUUUUUAUUUGCAUUCACGCCUUUUAGAAAGAGCCGCUAAAUUAAAUUCUCUUUUAGGCGAAGGAAGUAUGACCGCUUUACCAAUAGUUGAGACUCAAUCUGGAGACGUUUCCGCCUAUAUUCCUACUAAUGUAAUCUCCAUUACAGAUGGACAAAUAUUCUUAUCUGCGGAUCCAUUCAAUGCCGGAAUUCGACCCGCUAUUAAUGUGGGUAUUUCUGUUUCCAGAGUAGGAUCCGCGGCUCAAAUUAAAGCCAUGAAACAAGUAGCUGGCAAAUCAAAAUUGGAACUAGCUCAAUUCGCAGAGUUACAAGCCUUUGCACAAUUCGCCUCUGCUCUCGAUAAAACAAGUCAGAAUCAAUUGGCAAGGGGUCGACGAUUAAGGGAAUUGCUUAAACAAUCCCAGGCAAAUCCUCUCCCAGUGGAAGAGCAGAUAGCUACUAUUUAUACCGGAACAAGAGGAUAUCUUGAUUCGUUAGAAAUUGAACAGGUAAAUAAAUUUCUGGAUGAGUUACGUAAACAUCUAAAAGAUACUAAACCUCAAUUCCAAGAAAUUAUAUCUUCUAGCAAGACAUUCACCGAGCAAGCGGAAAUCCUUUUGAAGGAAGCUAUUCAGGAACAGCUGGAACGGUUUUCUCUUCAGUAACAAAUAAAUUUUGCAUGUCUACUCUUGUUAGUAGAAUAGGAAUCAUUGAGAAAGAUUUUUCAUUUGAAUCAUGCAAAAAAGUUUUCUUUGUUUUUAGUUUAGUAUAGUUAUUUAAAGAAUAGAUAGAAAUAAGAUUGCGUCCAAUAGGAUUUGAACCUAUACCAAAGGUUUAGAAGACCUCUGUCCUAUCCAUUAGACAAUGGAC